rnacentral:lncRNA from 1 species
UUUGUUUUAUCACAACGAUCUCACUCAACAACAAAAUACAACACUCAACAAACCCUUUAACCAGAACCACCUACACCCAUUCAAAGUUCCGACUUCGUCUCUGCCGCAGCCAACCGCUCCGGUUCUCCACCACCAAUACUCACCACCUUCGAUCCUUUGAUACGAUCCGGCGCCAACUUCCCGAUCGAAACAGUCAACACUCCAUCCUCAAGCUUAGCAUUCACCUUAUCCAAGUCAACAUUCUCCGGCAACCUAAACUGUCUCCAAAACUUCCCAUACGACCGUUCGCACCGGUGCCAGUGAUCACCACUAUCUCUUUCCUCCUUCUCUCUCUUCCUUUCCCCACUAACCCUCAAAACCCUAUUCUCCUCAACCUCAAUCUUCAACUCUUCUUUCUUCAUUCCAGGAACAUCCAUUGUGAUCACAUGACCGUCACUUGUCUCCUUCCAGUCGACCCUAGCCGGCGACACGAUAACUUCGUCGUCGCGUUCGAUCCCGAAUGGGAUCUGCUCUAGUUCCUUAAAGGGAUUGGUAAAUAUGUCAGACCGCAUGAGAUCGGAUAGCAAACUGGUACCCAUUGGGUCGGGAUGAUGGUCGAGUAAAGAUAGCAAAGACCCGGAACAUUGUCCGGAAAAGAAGAGAAACAAAAAUGCUGGUAGUAGAUAAUAGCUCUCAUGGAACAGGAUGAAAUCAGUUAAUGCUGGUAAUUGUGUUGGUUAGUUUGUUUCGAUUGUUUCAAUG